rnacentral:misc_RNA from 1 species
CACCGCGGUAAUUCCAGCUCCAAUAGCGUAUAUUAAAGUUGUUGCAGUUAAAAAGCUCGUAGUUGAAUUUCGGGAUUGACACAUCGGUCGUGCCUUAAGGGGUAUGAACUGGUGUAGUCAAUUUCUCACCUUCUGGAGAACCACGAUGCCCUUAAUUGGGUGUCGCGGGGAACCAGGACCUUUACUUUGAAAAAAUUAGAGUGUUUAAAGCAGGCAUUUUGCUUGAAUACAUUAGCAUGGAAUAAUAAAAUAGGACGGCAUGAUUCUAUUUUGUUGGUUUCUAGGAUCACCGUAAUGAUUAAUAGGGAUAGUUGGGGGCAUUAGUAUUCAAUUGUCAGAGGUGAAAUUCUUGGAUUUAUUGAAGACUAACUACUGCGAAAGCAUUUGCCAAGGAUGUUUUCAUUAAUCAAGAACGAAAGUUAGGGGAUCGAAGACGAUCAGAUACCGUCGUAGUCUUAACCAUAAACUAUGCCGACUAGGAAUCAGACGAUGUUAAUUUUUUAAUGACUCGUUUGGCACCUUACG